rnacentral:lncRNA from 1 species
GUCUCCUGAAGGGUUGCUGACCACUGCUCUCAGCUGCUGGACUCUUUCCUUUGCUUCGAUCCACAACAUCUCUUUCUUUCAUAAUCUCUACUCCCUUCUCAACAAUCAGUGCCCGGUUUACCACCUCCCUGUAAGUAGAAAGGUUUGACGCCUGAACCAAUCUGAAAAUCGCAUGCUGCAAACCCACCUCAAAAAUCCGAGUCUUGUCCUCAUCAUCUCUAACCACAAAAGGAACACAAUGCAGCAAUCGGAAAAACUCUCGCUCAUACUCAGCCAUUGUCCUGUCCCCCUGUCUCAGGUUUCUCAAAUUCCUUUCCAUUUGCCUCUUUACACUCUGAGGAAAAUAUGUAGUCAACAGUAAUUCCUUGAACCUCGUCCAGGUAACAGCGGACAAAUCAGUA